UGCAAGUGGUAGUGAUCCGAAAGGUGAACGACCCGCAAGGGAGCUUGCACAGGUGUUUGCAUGGCUGUCGUCAGCUCGUGUCGUGAGAUGUCGGUUAAGUCCGCUAACGAGCGCAACCCUCGCUGUAUGUUACAUGUGUCAUACAGGACCGCCGGUAUCAAGCCGGAGGAAGGUGGGGAUGACGUCAAGUCCGCAUGGCCUUUAUGUCCGGGGCUACACACACGCUACAAUGGUCGGUACAAUGGGUUGCUAAGCCGCGAGGUGGAGCCAAUCCCCCAAAGCCGGCCUACAGUUCAGAUUGCAGGCUGCAACUCGCCUGCAUGAAGCUGGAGUUGCUAGUAAACGCGCGUCAGCUAUAGUGCGUUGAAUACGUUCUCGGGUCCUU
rnacentral:rRNA from 1 species